GCGAAAGUGGCGGAACUGGCAGACGCGCAGCGCUCAGGACGCUGUGAGCUCACGCUCAUGGGGGUUCGAGUCCCCCCUUUCGCACCA
rnacentral:tRNA from 2 species